rfam:Clostridium sp. IEH 97212 scaffold_17, whole genome shotgun sequence.
CGAGUAAGCCAGACAAUCGCUGCCGUAUGUUAUACGGGAGAGGAAAGUCCGAGCUCCAUAGGGCAGGGUGCUGGGUAAUACCCAGUGGAGGCGACUCUAAGGAAAGUGCAACAGAAAUAUACCGCCAGAUUUUUAUCUGGUAAGGGUGGAAAGGCGAGGUAAGAGCUCACCAGCGUAUAGGUGACUAUACGGCUAUGUAAACCCCAUCUGGAGCAAGAUCGAAUAGGAGAGCAGGAAAUUUUGAUUUCCAGGGGUGGCCCGUCCCGCUCUCGGGUAGUAUCGCUGGAGCCUAUUGGUAACAAUGGGCCUAGAUAGAUGAUUGUCUAAUACAGAACUCGGCUUAUAGGUUUAGUCGUGCC